rnacentral:rRNA from 1 species
AGAGUUUGAUCCUGGCUCAGGAUGAACGCUGGCGGCAUGCCUAAUACAUGCAAGUCGAACGAGAGGAAGGAAAGCUUGCUUUUCUGAAUCUAGUGGCGAACGGGUGAGUAACACGUAGGUAACCUGCCCAUGUGCCCGGGAUAACUUCUGGAAACGGAUGCUAAAACCGGAUAGGUAGCAGACAAGCAUUUGACUGCUAUUAAAGUGGCCUUGGCCAUGAACAUGGAUGGACCUGCGGUGCAUUAGCUGGUUGGUGAGGUAACGGCCCACCAAGGCGACGAUGCAUAGCCGGCCUGAGAGGGCGGACGGCCACAUUGGGACUGAGACACGGCCCAAACUCCUACGGGAGGCAGCAGUAGGGAAUUUUCGUCAAUGGGGGGAACCCUGAACGAGCAAUGCCGCGUGAGUGAGGAAGGUCUUCGGAUCGUAAAGCUCUGUUGUAAGAGAAAAACGGCACUCAUAGGGAAUGAUGAGUGAGUGAUGGUAUCUUACCAGAAAGUCACGGCUAACUACGUGCCAGCAGCCGCGGUAAUACGUAGGUGGCGAGCGUUAUCCGGAAUUAUUGGGCGUAAAGGGUGCGUAGGUGGCAGAUCAAGUCUGGAGUAAAAGGUAUGGGCUCAACCCGUACUGGCUCUGGAAACUGAUCAGCUAGAGAACAGAAGAGGACGGCGGAACUCCAUGUGUAGCGGUAAAAUGCGUAGAUAUAUGGAAGAACACCGGUGGCGAAGGCGGCCGUCUGGUCUGGAUUCUGACACUGAAGCACGAAAGCGUGGGGAGCAAAUAGGAUUAGAUACCCUAGUAGUCCACGCCGUAAACGAUGAGAACUAGGUGUUGGGGGAAUAACUCAGUGCCGCAGUUAACGCAGUAAGUUCUCCGCCUGGGGAGUAUGCACGCAAGUGUGAAACUCAAAGGAAUUGACGGGGGCCCGCAC